rnacentral:rRNA from 1 species
UAGGGAAUCUUCGGCAAUGGACGGAAGUCUGACCGAGCAACGCCGCGUGAGUGAAGAAGGUUUUCGGAUCGUAAAGCUCUGUUGUUAGAGAAGAACGUUGGUAGGAGUGGAAAAUCUACCAAGUGACGGUAACUAACCAGAAAGGGACGGCUAACUACGUGCCAGCAGCCGCGGUAAUACGUAGGUCCCGAGCGUUGUCCGGAUUUAUUGGGCGUAAAGCGAGCGCAGGCGGUUCUUUAAGUCUGAAGUUAAAGGCAGUGGCUUAACCAUUGUACGCUUUGGAAACUGGAGGACUUGAGUGCAGAAGGGGGGAGUGGAAUUCCAUGUGUAGCGGUGGAAUGCGUAGAUAUAUGGAGGAACACCGGUGGCGAAAGCGGCUCUCUGGUCUGUAACUGACGCUGAGGCUCGAAAGCGUGGGGAGCAAACAGG